GGUGGCUCAGUGGUAGAGUGCUUGCCUUGCAUGCAUGAGACCCUGGGAUUGAUUCUCAACACCA
rnacentral:tRNA from 1 species